CAUGCAAGUCGAACGAGAAUCUACUGAAAGAGUUUUCGGACGAUGGAAGUAGAGGAAAGUGGCGGACGGGUGAGUAACGCGUGAGGAACCUGCCUUGAAGAGGGGGACAACAGUUGGAAACGACUGCUAAUACCGCAUGAAGCAUAGGGGUCGCAUGAUUCUUAUGCCAAAGAUUUAUCGCUUCAAGAUGGCCUCGCGUCUGAUUAGCUAGUUGGCGGGGUAACGGCCCACCAAGGCGACGAUCAGUAGCCGGACUGAGAGGUUGAACGGCCACAUUGGGACUGAGAUACGGCCCAGACUCCUACGGGAGGCAGCGGUGGGGAAUAUAGGGCAAUGGGCGCAAGCCUGACCCAGCAACGCCGCGUGAAGGAAGAAGGCUUUCGGGUUGUAAACUUCUUUUAAGAGGGAAGAGCAGAAGACGGUACCUCUAGAAUAAGCCACGGCUAACUACGUGCCAGCAGCCGCGGUAAUACGUAGGUGGCAAGCGUUGUCCGGAUUUACUGGGUGUAAAGGGCGUGCAGCCGGGUCUGCAAGUCAGAUGUGAAAUCCAUGGGCUCAACCCAUGAACUGCAUUUGAAACUGUAGAUCUUGAGUGUCGGAGGGGCAAUCGGAAUUCCUAGUGUAGCGGUGAAAUGCGUAGAUAUUAGGAGGAACACCAGUGGCGAAGGCGGAUUGCUGGACGAUAACUGACGGUGAGGCGCGAAAGUGUGGGGAGCAAACAGGAUUAGAUACCCUGGUAGUCCACACUGUAAACGAUGAAUACUAGGUGUGCGGGGACUGACCCCCUGCGUGCCGCAGUAAACACAAUAAGUAUUCCACCUGGGGAGUACGAUCGCAAGGUUGAAACUCAAAGGAAUUGACGGGGGCCCGCACAAGCGGUGGAUUAUGUGGUUUAAUUCGAAGCAACGCGAAGAACCUUACCAGGGUUUGACAUCCUGCUAACGAAGUA
rnacentral:rRNA from 1 species